GACGAACCGUGCGAACGUUGUUCGGAAUCACUGGGCUUAAAGGGCGCGUAGGCGGGCCACAAAGUCAGGGGUGAAAUCCUCCAGCUCAACUGGAGAACUGCCUUUGAUACUGGUGGUCUUGAGUGGGGUAGGGGCAUGCGGAACAAUGGGUGGAGCGGUGAAAUGCGUUGAUAUCCAUUGGAACUCCGGUGGCGAAAGCGGCGUGCUGGACCUCUACUGACGCUGAGGCGCGAAAGCCAGGGGAGCAAACGGG
rnacentral:rRNA from 1 species